rnacentral:rRNA from 1 species
GACGAACGCUGGCGGCGUGCUUAACACAUGCAAGUCGAACGGGCCUUGUCCCCUUUUUUUUGGGGGUGGGGUUAGUGGCGAACGGGUGAGUAACACGUGAGUAACCUGCCCCUCACUUCUGGAUAACCGCUUGAAAGGGUGGCUAAUACGGGGUGUUCUGGCCUGCUCGCAUGGGUGGGUUUGGAAAGAUUCGACCGGUUUUGGUUGUUUUGGUGGGGGAUGGGCUCGCGGCCUAUCAGCUUGUUGGUGGGGUGAUGGCCUGCCAAGGCUUUGACGGGUAGCCGGCCUGAGAGGGUGGGCGGUCACACUGGGACUGAGACACGGCCCAGACUCCUACGGGAGGCAGCAGUGGGGAAUAUUGCACAAUGGGCGCAAGCCUGAUGCAGCGACGCCGCGUGAGGGAUGGAGGCCUUCGGGUUGUGAACCUCUUUCGCCAGUGAAGGAGGUCCUGCUCUUUGUGGUGGGGUUGACGGUAGCGGGGUUAAUGAAGCGCCGGCUAACUACGUG